rnacentral:rRNA from 1 species
GUAUGCUUAACACAUGCAAGUCGAACGGGCUAAUUGGGGCUUGCUCCAAUUAGUUAGUGGCAGACGGGUGAGUAACACGUGGGAAUCUACCCAUCAGUACGGAAUAACUUUUAGAAAUAAAAGCUAAUACCGUAUAUUCUCUACGGAGGAAAGAUUUAUCGCUGAUGGAUGAGCCCGCGUCAGAUUAGGUAGUUGGUGAGGUAACAGCUCACCAAGCCGACGAUCUGUAGCUGGUCUGAGAGGAUGAUCAGCCACACUGGGACUGAGACACGGCCCAGACUCCUACGGGAGGCAGCAGUGGGGAAUAUUGGACAAUGGGCGAAAGCCUGAUCCAGCAAUACCGAGUGAGUGAUGAAGGCCUUAGGGUUGUAAAGCUCUUUUA